rnacentral:rRNA from 1 species
AACGAACGCUGGCGGCAUGCCUAACACAUGCAAGUCGAACGAGACCUUCGGGUCUAGUGGCGCACGGGUGCGUAACGCGUGGGAAUCUGCCCUUGGGUUCGGAAUAACUUCGGGAAACUGAAGCUAAUACCGGAUGAUGACGUAAGUCCAAAGAUUUAUCGCCCAAGGAUGAGCCCGCGUAGGAUUAGCUAGUUGGUGAGGUAAAGGCUCACCAAGGCGACGAUCCUUAGCUGGUCUGAGAGGAUGAUCAGCCACACUGGGACUGAGACACGGCCCAGACUCCUACGGGAGGCAGCAGUGGGGAAUAUUGGACAAUGGGCGAAAGCCUGAUCCAGCAAUGCCGCGUGAGUGAUGAAGGCCUAGGGUUGUAAAGCUCUUUACCCGGGUAUGAUAAUGACAGUACCGGGAGAAUAAGACUCCGGCGUAACUCCGUGCCAGCAGCCGCGGUAAUGUGACUACUG